rnacentral:rRNA from 1 species
AUUGAACGCUGGCGGCGUGCUUAACACAUGCAAGUCGAUCGGUAACGCGGGGGCAACCCUGGCGACGAGAGGCGGACGGGUGAGGAACGCUUGGGAAUCUGCCUAUCAGCGGGGGACAACACGGGGAAACUCGUGCUAAUACCGCAUACGCUCUACGGAGGAAAGCCGGGGACCGCAAGGCCUGGCACUGAUAGAUGAGCCCAAGCCGGAUUAGCUAGUUGGCGGGGUAACGGCCCACCAAGGCGACGAUCCGUAGCUGGUCUGAGAGGACGAUCAGCCACACUGGGACUGGGACACGGCCCGGACUCCUACGGGAGGCAGCAGUGGGGAAUAUUGGACAAUGGGGGAAACCCUGAUCCAGCGACGCCGCGUGGGUGAAGAAGGCCUGCGGGUUGUAAAGCCCUUUCGGUAGGGACGAAAGCUCUCGACCUAACACGUCGGGAGGUUGACUUAACCUACAAAAGAAGCACCGGCUAACUCUGUGCCAGCCGCCGCGGUAAUAC